GGCCGCGGUUUCCAGGAGCUCCGACUUUUCGCCGAGGCGGCGGCGGCUGAGCGAUGCGAAGGAGGCGGGAGGCGUGACGUGCCAGCCCCGCCUCACACGGGCUGCCGCGCGCGGGCGCGACGGCCCCGCCCAUCGGCAAAGGAAGGGGAAGCGGAAAGAGCGGGACUUGGCGUGCGAUGGGAGUGGGAAGACUACAGCGUAACUGGCUUAAAUACCAAGAGAAUGACUUUAAAUCUUGCUGGAUGGAACUGCCACUCACCGCUAGAAAUCGGGGAUCGACAGCGAACUCUGGAUGACCCUGUAACCACAUCUCCAGUUCAGCCCGGCGAGGGGCAUCCUCACCCACCAGCAAAGUACCAUCCACCUUAUUGAUGACGGGGAUCCGGGUCUCCAGGUCCACAUCAAGGUGAUUAGGCUCUUCCAUGCACUCCACCUCCAGCUGCAAACCCAGAAUCCACCCCCAUGAGCACAUACUGUUCUUUGGGCAGGAAGGGAGGGGGAGCAGAGCCAAUGGUAGCCAUAAAAUAACCCUAGUAUCUUCUAGUCCCUCAAUCCCCUUCAUCAAUUACUAGGAAUAAAAAGAUCUUAUCCAA